rnacentral:lncRNA from 1 species
UAGAUAUAUAAAGAUAUAGAAAGGGUUAAUUGCAUAUAGGUCUUCGUAAAUAUAGUGAAUUAUAAGUAUAUUUUUGUAAAGUUCAAUUUUUAUAAGUUAUCCCUACAAAAGUUCUAAUAUUUUCAGAUAUGUCCCUUGAUACGGUCCGACCGUAUCAAUAGGGAUAACCGAUCACUUCGAGGGGAUCGAACCUCCUAAAGAAUUGAUAAGUAGAGAAGUAGAGAGAAGAGGUAGAAAGAAAAGACAAGAUAUGAGGGAAAAGAGAUAAUAUUACUUUUUUUUUAUUUCUUGUAACUAUGGGUUACAUUAUAUAGAGUCCAAAUCCUUAAACUACUCCUAAUCAUACCUAAUAAAUCUAUUCCCAAACAAGAUAACUGCCUAUUCCUAAAUAUAUUCCUAAAUAACAAGAUAUUUAAAUUUGAACUUGUUUAUUAAAAGGAAACUAUUAAAAAGGAAAGUUGGGGUCGCAUCAUCUCCUCCGCCCUCGAAAGCCACCUUGUCCUCAAGGUGGAAAAUCCUCAAGCUUGUCUAAUCCUUUUAUAUCAUCUUCUCUAUUUUCAUCAGGUUCGGCCUCGAUCAAAAAUAGUUGCUUUGAUUUGCAUCGAUGUCCGGGUCUAUAUUUUUCAUCACAAUUGUAGCAAAGGCCUUGAUCUCUUCUUACUUUCGCUUCAGCCGGUGUGAGGCGCUUUAUAGGUGGAAGCGUCUCAUUAGACAUUGGUGUUGUAGAGGCAGACAAAAGAGAAGGCUUAGAAUUUAUAAUACGAUGUUGAGCUAUCAACUUUUCCUCUUGUAGACGAGCAAGACCGAUGGCUGCUGACAUAGAAGUUGGUCGGAAGGCUCGGACAUCAUGCUUUAGGUCCUCCCUCAGCCCACUAACGAAGCAACUUAUGAAAAAUGCCUCAGUUAGUCCUGAAGUGCGAUUGGCUAGCAUUUCGAAUCGAGCUUGAUAGUCACGAACACUCUGAGUAGGUCCUUGUUGUAAUUUUGAUAAUUCACCCAUAUAGUCUUCAUACAUGGUUGGACCAAAACGAGUGCAGAGUGCUUCUACGAAAUUCGUCCACGCUACAACUCCACUGCUUUUCUCAAACCAUUGAAACCAUUGCAAUGCUUCCUUCUCCAUAUGGUACGAUGCAAGUGGAACUUUUUGCGCAUCCAGUAUUUGAUUAAAUUUAAAGAAUUGCUCUGCUCGAUACACCCAUCCAGUUGGAUCCUCGCCCUCAAAUCGGGGAAACUCCAGUCUUGUGACACGAGGUAUCACCAUCAUAGAGUUCUCCAUAGUAGGAAUCAAUGUUCCUUCCUUGAAGGGAGUAGGAAGAAGGGGACGACUUUUAUCGGAACUUGCGGCGGAUGUAUCUUCGGACGGUGCUUGCGGUCGCACAUCUAUCUUUGUAUUCAUAGCGAUAAUUAAAUUUUUAAGAUCGUUAAUAGAAUCGCUAAUGGACCUUACCUCGGUCUCCAGUUUGUUCAAUCGAGUAUCAACGUUGUUCAUUUCCUCCCGUCGUACAAACUCCCCGUCUAUCCUUCGUAAGGAUUCUUUUUUUGCUCGAGUUAGGACCAUACAAGCUCUAAUACCAAAUGAUACGGUCCGACCGUAUCAAUAGGGAUAGCCGAUCACUUCGAGGGGAUCGAACCUCCUAAAGAAUUGAGAAGUAGAGAAGUAGAGAGAAGAGGUAGAAAGAGAAGACAAGAUAUGAGGGAAAAGAGACAAUAUUACUUUUUUUUAUUUCUUGUAACUCUGGCUUACAUUAUAUAGAGUCCAAAUCUUUAAACUACUCCUAAUCAUACCUAAUAAAUCUAUUCCCAAACAAGAUAACUGCCUAUUCCUAAAUAUAUUCCUAAAUAACAAGAUAUUUAAAUUUGAACUUGUUUAUUAAAAGAAAACUAUUAAAAAGGAAAGUUGGGAUCGCAUCAUCCCUGCCGUUAGAAUCCGUUAGAAAAGUUUAGUUAAUCAUAGGUUAAAUACUCUACCCCGAUUAAUUUUUGACAUUUUUGUCCCUCUUAUACUAUACUGUUAUAACUUUUAGAAGGCACAUAUUUGUGAUAGCAAAAUUGAAAAUAUAAACAGUUUUUUAAUGGUUAUCUAACGAUAACAAACCAGAGGGACAUAUAUGAAAACAUUAGGACUUUUGCAGGAAUAAUUUAUGAAAGUUGAAUUUUAUAGGGAUAUAUUUACAAUUGACUAUAUUUUGCGGGGACUUGUAUAUAAUUAAACCAUGUAGAUAAUACUAGUAACCAACCUCUGUAAUGCAUGAUAUUAUAAUAAUAUUUUAAAAUUAAUAUUAUUUAAUUUUUAAUAUUAUAAGUUAUAUAUAACAUAAUUUUUAUUAAUAUUAAUAAAUAAAAAUUAAUUUUUUUUGAAGUUGAAAAAAAAUGAUAAAAUAUUUUGAUGUUUUAUGUUGUUUA